rnacentral:rRNA from 1 species
UACGGAGGGAGCUAGCGUUGUUCGGAAUUACUGGGCGUAAAGCGCGCGUAGGCGGCUUUGUAAGUUAGAGGUGAAAGCCCGGGGCUCAACCCCGGAACUGCCUUUAAAACUGCAUCGCUUGAAUCCGGGAGAGGUGAGUGGAAUUCCGAGUGUAGAGGUGAAAUUCGUAGAUAUUCGGAGGAACACCAGUGGCGAAGGCGACUUUCUGGCCUGUUCUUGACGCUGAGGCGCGAAAGCUAGGGGAGCAAACGGG